UUCUUAUCGAGAGAGGCGGAGGGACAGGCCCGAUGAAGCCCGGCAACCGAUUUGAGCACGGCAUCCGCCGUUACUUGAAUGUCAUGGUGCUAAUUCCUACAAGCUGCAGCUUAAGCUGCGGGUUGGCAGAUGAGAA
rnacentral:ncRNA from 1 species